GGGGAGGGCCUGGUGGCCAGCGAGGGAGAGGGUGAGGAUCAUGCAGGUUUAUCAGGCCACGUGAUUGUGGUAGCCACGCGAGAUUUUCUCGUGAGCAAAACCGAAGUAAGAAGAGCAAGCACUCCUGUAAAGUCAAAACGUCAUGCGAAUCCAUUCAGACCCGGAGACUCCUCAAAAGUGUUCUUCCGUGAUGCGAUGGUUCUCGGCAUCUCCUCCUAGCACCGCCCCGUCAGCACUCACAGGCAAAAUGCAGCCCCUGCCAUUACGGGUCCAGAGGAAAGCCCAGGAUGUAACCACCGUCCAAGUCUCUCUGGGGAGUUAGAAUCAUCACGGCGAACAGAUUCUGUCCAUCAUGCGAAGAGGGAGGCCGGGGUUGCCUCGCUCCGUACACAAGCCAACUAGCCUGAAGAACGGAAGCUGUUGCAUAACAAUCGCAUGGUUUAUUAGUCAGAAAUCAUUUUUUGUGUUCAUUUUGAACCAAUAAUAGAUUUCACUGAGGAGAGAUGAGGUUGCUGUCGUCUACGACUGAGUCAAAAUGACGAGUAUAUAUAUUUAGGAAGAUUUGCAAAUUGAUGGGUUUGAAAACACAUUUGUUGAGAAAUCAUACGUUCACAUUUUGGCCAAGGAUACAGCCAAACAAGGAAAAUACAUUUAUAAAAUAUAAUUCAGCUUUGUAAUAACACUGCACAGUCUUGCUCUACUAAAUAUGGCAAUAUGACAGUAUAUAAUUAAAUAGAUAUCUGAAAAAUAACCCUAUAUCCCUCACUUAUUACAUCCAUGAACACUUCAGUAACUCAUUAUUAUAUUUCCGAUACUAUUGUUAUGUUAUGCUUUUUAUAUACAUUUAAUUCUGCGCUGCUCGUCCUAGCAUGGCGUUUGUUGUUAAUCGUACAUUCGAACACUUCAGAUCUGUUACAUAACACACUUUUUUCAUUUUUUUUCAUAUGUACUUUUCAAUUUUGCUGAUCUUAUCUACGAGUGAUGAUUUUAUGUUGACGUUUUACAGAACAGACAUCUUGAGUCAUUCCAUCCCGUUAGGCCAAUUAUUUUCCCUUUUAUUAGAGGUGAAUUCUUCAUAUCUGCGCGUCUUACUUUCGGUUUACAACGU